UACAGAGGGUGCGAGCGUUAAUCGGAAUUACUGGGCGUAAAGCGCGCGUAGGCGGCUUUUCAAGUCGGAUGUGAAAUCCCCGGGCUUAACCUGGGAACUGCAUUCGAGACUGUCUAGCUAGAGUAUGGGAGAGGGAAGUGGAAUUUCAGGUGUAGCGGUGAAAUGCGUAGAUAUCUGAAGAAACGUCAGUGGCGAAAGCGACUUCCUGGACCAAUACUGACGCUCAUGUGCGAAAGCGUGGGGAGCAAACAGG
rnacentral:rRNA from 1 species